rnacentral:rRNA from 1 species
UGGAGGAAAGCAGGGGAUCGUAAGACCGUGCGCUUUUGGAGCGGCCGAUGUCUGAUUAGCUAGUUGGUGGGGUAAUGGCCUACCAAAGCUUCGAUCAGUAGCUGGUCUGAGAGGACGGCCAGCCACACUGGGACUGAGACACGGCCCAGACUCCUACGGGAGGCAGCAGUGGGGAAUUUUGGACAAUGGGCGCAAGCCUGAUCCAGCCAUGCCGCGUGAGUGAAGAAGGCCUUCGGGUUGUAAAGCUCUUUCAGCCGGGAAGAAAAGGCUGCGACUAAUAAUCGCAGUUCAUGACGGUACCGGAAGAAGAAGCACCGGCUAACUACGUGCCAGCAGCCGCGGUAAUACGUAGGGUGCGAGCGUUAAUCGGAAUUACUGGGCGUAAAGGGUGCGCAGGCGGUUUUGUAAGUCAGAUGUGA